UUCAUUUGUACUCUCCAAUGGGAUGGGAUCCGAAGCCACUCGAGGGAUAAUACAGGCUGUCCCAUCCAACUCCUAUUCCGACACGUUCUCGUCGUGCAGAGUGGUAACGUGUGCCACCAGAUAUCCAAGCUUGGGUACACGGGCUUGACCCAACCCCUUGGGCAGAUGGUGACAUAUGGCGAACCGAGGAGUG
rnacentral:ribozyme from 1 species